rnacentral:tRNA from 1 species
UCCCUGGAGGACUAGUGGUUAAGCCACAGCGCUCCCACCUCUGUGGCCUGGGUUCGUUUCCUGGCCAGGGAA